rnacentral:rRNA from 1 species
GACGAACGCUGGCGGCGUGCUUAACACAUGCAAGUCGAACGGAAAGGCCCUGCUUUUGUUGGGUGCUCGAGUGGCGAACGGGUGAGUAACACGUGAGUAACCUGCCCUUGACUUUGGGAUAACUUCAGGAAACUGGGGCUAAUACCGGAUAGGAGCUCCUGCUGCAUGGUGGGGGUUGGACAGUUUAGGCUGUUGGGGAUGGACUCGCGGCUUAUCAGCUUGUUGGUGGGGUAGUGGCUUACCAAGGCUUUGACGGGUAGUCGGCCUGAGAGGGUGACCGGCGACCAUGGGACUGAGAUACGGCGCAGACUCCUACGGGAGGCAGCAGUGGGGAAUAUUGCACAAUGGGCGGAAGCCUGAUGCAGCAACGCCGGGUGCGGGAUGACGGCCUUCGGGUGGUAAACCGCUUUCGGCUGUGACGAAGCGUGAGUGACGGUAAUGGGUAAAGAAGCACCGGCUAACUACGUG